UUGGCUUGACUGGCUCGGUGAGCUACGGGUCCCUUAGGUGUUCUCUGUGGGGUGGGCUCCUCUUGACAGUUCUGCGGAGCUGCCUCCAGUGGGUUUCUUUCUCAGUCUUGCGGUGGAUAAUGAGUUCCUGCAGCAGUGGCCCCAUCUAUCCAGAGGUCUGAAUCUCAGCUUUGCCGGGGCGGGAGUUGGGAGGCUCCUCGAAUUUUCCAAGUGCCAUCGUCCUGGACUGCAAGUCUCAAAGUCAUCUAUGAAUAGUGAAACCAAAAAAGAGGCACCUGGGUUGAGGUCCCUGGCCCUAGAUGGGAGAAGAGAGGCCAUUGAGAGCACUAUGCUAUUCAAGACCUGCCGGACCCCAGGCUUUAGACCGUGUGGUUGACUGACUUCCUUCCUCUAGAUGCCUAGAGGGAAGGUUUGGAAAGACAACUUGCUGAGAAUGUAUGAAGAGUUUGGUGGAAAUUUCCAGAAGCCAGGAGCUAAAGAACUUCUCUAAGAAAAGGAGGAAAAUGUUCUCUGAGUGAAUUUCAUGUUACCUUGUCUACUUUCACUGUGUUCUGUGUUCAAAGUUUGCAGGAGUUUGCUUGACGGGUUAUUUUUGGUCAUUUACAUAAACAUGUAAAGGUCCAUUUGCUCAACAAAUGAAUACGUGUUGGUGCCUAUAAUCAAUGUGUUAACUUCACUGAUGGCCCUUACCCUUGAGAUUGCUUGUUUAUUUGUCUGCAGACUGGAUGCAUCUAGCACAGGACCUGGCACAUAGGGGGCUCAGUAAAUACUUCUUGCCUGGAUGGGAAAUGAAUGUGCAAGGUGUUACAAUGUGUCUGGCAUUACAAUGCCAGAUGCUGGCUUUAGACAGGUUGUCUGGACCAGCCUGAGAGGGGGUCAUGGCUGGCUGGUGGGGUUGUUUUCCACUCACUUUACAGUCCGGCGCUCUUUAAGUUAGUCACAGUCUCAGAAAGGGGCAGAGCCAAAUUUAAUCCAGAUCCCCUGACUCCCCAUGCUUUCUCUAUUAUUCUCUAUUCCGAAACCAUGUAUGUUGGAAAUAGAGGUACUGCUAUCAAACCUGUACAGAAUGAUUUGAAUUGUGAUUGUAUCUUUCUGAAUUCAAGCAUAUGAAUGCCAAAGUGCCCAAAGUAUUGCCUUUUAUUCUUUCCAUCAACUUGUUCAUUAACUCAACAUUACAGUUGUUCUCCAUUUUUAAAAAUCUUGAUGAGACUGUCAGAUUCUCAAAGCAUUCUUAAUUUACCCUAUUAUUUCAAAGAAGUAAUUUAAAAUAUUUUAAAAGAGUAGCCUUUGUUUUUGAGUUUCUUUAACGUGUGUUUGUUUUGUGUUGUUUUUUAAUGGGUUUAGAUCAGUGUUUCUCAACGUUUUGUUUCUUUUUUGUUAUCGAUUGAGGUACAAUUGACAUAUAACAUUAGUUUCGGGUGUACGACGUAGUGAUUCAAUAUUUGUAUAUAUUGCAAAAUGUUCAUCACAGUAAGUCUAGUUAGCAUCCAUCACCACACAUAGCUACAAAGAAUUUUUUUCCUGUGAUGCGAACUUUUAAGAUUUGCUCUCUUAGUGGCUUACAAAUAUACGAUAUAGUAUUAGUAACCAUAGUCAGUAUGCUGUACAUUACAUCUCCAAGGACUUGUUUAUCUUAUAACUGGAAGUUUGUGCCUUUUGACCACCUUCCCCCAUUUCAGCCUUCCCCUCCCCCACCCACAACCACCAGUUUGUCCUAUUUGUGAGUUUGGUUUUUCUUUCCUCCUUUUUUUUUAAUGUUUACUUAUUUCUGAGAGAGAGAGAGACAGAGAGAGAGAGAGCGCCAGUGAGAGUGGGGGAGGGACAGAGAGAGAGGGAGAGAGAGAAUCCCAAGCAGGCGCCGCACUGUCAGUGCAGAGCCCAACUCAGGGCUCACACUCAUGAACUGUGAGAUCAUGACCUGAGCCAAAAUCGGAUUCUUAACCAACUGAGCCACCCAGGCGCCCCAAGUUUGGUUUUUCUUUUCUUUUUUUUAAAAACAAUUUUUUUUUAACUUUUAUUUAUUAUUGAGAGACAGAGACACACAGAGUGUGAGCAGGGGAGGAGUAGAGAGAGGGGGAGACACAGAAUCUGAAGCAGGCUCCAGGCUCUGAGCUGUCAGCCCAGAGCCAGACGUGGGGCUCGAAGUCACAACCUGCAACAUCAUGACCUGAACUGAAGUCGGUCGCUUAACCAACUGAGCCACACAGGCGCCCCCCAAGUUUGGUUUUUCUCAUGUGUGUUUUUCAAUGAAGCAGUGUUGAUUCUAUAUUUACACCUUUUGAAUUAAUCACUUAAAAAUAUGUUUGCUCUUCUAGCUGCCUCUUUUGAGCAUGGUCUUUCUUUUGGAGGUUUUUCUUUAUUUUGCCAAAACCCUUUUGAGUUAAGGUCAGUCUUUUUUUUUUUUUUUAAGUUUAUGUAUUUAUUUUUGUUGGGGGGCAGAGAGGGAGAGAGAGAAUCCCAAGCAGGCAUUGCCUGAUAGUGCAGAGCCCCAUGCGGGGCUCCAAACCGUGAACAGUGAGAUCAUGACCUGAGCUAAAACCAAGAGUUGGACACUUAACUGACUGAGCCGCCCAGGCGCCCCUAGUUCAUGUCAGUCUUAAAUUUCAGCAUUGGGCAACCCAUGAACUAUCAGCAAGACUUCCUAAACUUUAACCUGCAUCAGAACCUCCUAAAGGACUUGUUCAAACUCAGAUUGCUAGGCACCACCUCAGUAUUUCUGGUUCAGUGAGUCUGGGGUGAGGCCAGAGGCUUUGCCUUUCUGACAAGUUUACAAGUAAAGCAGACACUCCUGGUCUGAGGACCACACUUGAGAACUGCUGAUCUAACAGAUCUGGGCACUGCCAUCAAUAUCUGCUGACAUCAUAAAAUGAGGGACAAACAGGCAUUAUGUGCCUCCUGAUGGGAGAACACAUUAUAUGUACUACCCAGGAAUUAGUCUUGCAGGAAAAAAAAAAAAAAAAAAAAAAAAAGAACUUGGUUCUUACCAAGCUGUAAAUUACCAAUAUAUAGAAAAUAUGAGGGACAGAGGAACACGUUAAACUGUGGGGAUGACAUUAGCAAAGUCCAGACCAUAGGAAACCAGAGUCCUCCAACUAAUAAAUUGCAAGGAAAAAUGAAGAAUGGAGGAGGAAUCUAUAGAGGAGAAUGUAUAGAGAGGAAUCUCUAUAAAAGAGACCUCAAAGGCAUAUCAUCCAAUUGCAGUGUGUGGACCUUAUUUGCAUCCUUUUUUACCUAAGUUGUAGAAAGAUGUUUGAUAUUUUAUGGGACAAUUGGACAUUUGAAUAGUGAAUGGAUAUUUGAUAUUAAGACAUUUCUAAUUAUUUAUUGAAAUCAAAUUAUUUUUAAUUAUGUUAUUGUGGUAGACACGAUAAUGCCUUUCCCCCAAAGGGAUCUACACCCUGAUCCCUGGAACCUGUGACUAUGCGGCAAAAGGGACUUCACAGAUGUGAUUAAGUUAAGGAUCUCAUAUGGGGAAAUGAUUUUGGAUUACUGAAGUGUGCCAAGUGUCAUCACAGGGUCCUGAUAAAGGAAAGAGGGUUUAGGAGGGUCAGAGUCAGGGGAGAUGUGAUGAUUGAAGCAAAGGUCAGAGUGAGAGAGAGGGAGAUCGGAAGAUGUUACACUGCUAGCUUUGCAGAUGAAGGAAGCAGCCACAAGCCAAAGAAUGCAGGUGGUGUCUGGAAGCUGGAAAAGCAAGGAAACCACUUCUCUAGAACCUCCAAAAAGAGCAUAUCCCUACCUACCCAUUUUAGACUUCUGACCUCUGGAACUAUAAUAUGAUAAACUCUCGUUGUUUUAAACUGAUAAGUUUGUGGGAAUUUGUUACAGCAGCAUAAGAACAGCAAUACAGUUAGUUUCUUUUUAAAGCUUAUUUAAUUAUUUUUGAGAGAGACAGAGACAGUGCAAAUGGGGGAGGAACAGAGAGAGAGGGAGAGAGAGAAUGCCAAGCAGGCUCUGUGCUCACAGCGUAGAGCCCGAUGCCGGCCUUGAACCCACGAAGCCAAAGCCAGGAGAUCAUGACCUGAGUCGGCACCAAGAGUCAGAUGCUUAACUGGCUGAGCCACCCAGGAGCCCCAAUACAGUUGUGUUAUAUAGAGAGUCGUCUUUUAGAGAUAUCUGAUUAAAUAUUUACAAAAUAAAUGAUAUGGUGUCUAGAAUCUGUUUCAAUAUAAUAGGAGUCUGGGCAGAUUACAGAGGGGUUUGGAUGAGGCAGGAUUGGCCAUAAUUGUGGGUGCUGAGUGAUGGGUGCAUAGGGUCCAUUAUAGUAUUCUACUUUUGUGCAUUUUAAUUUACUUUGUUUAUUUUUAAAGAUUUUAUUUUUAAGUAAUCUCUACACCUAAUGUGGGGCUUGAACUCACAACCCCAAGAUUAAGAGUUUCAUGCUCCACUCACUGAGCCGGUCAGGUGCCCCUACUUUUGUGUAUUUGAAAAAUUAAACACAUACACACACAUAAGAAAAAAAAAUAGUUAAGUUCAAGUAUUAAGACUUAAAAGACUUUCGAAGACUUAGCUUGGUGAAAUCCAAGCUGUACUAGGAGUGGUAACAUAGCCAGAGUGAAAGUCUAUGAUCAGGACCAGAAGUGAGAGGGGCCAUUCAUCAAGGUGGCACUGUGGACUCCAGGAGACCUAAGGAGGCCAGCCCAGGAAAGACGGGGGCUGGGAGGGAAAUGAAUGUGUGAGGCCCCAGGGAAGUGGAAGAGGUAAACCAGCAAAGAUACCAAUAUACACAAAAGAACAGAAAAAGAAUUCAAAAGAAUUGAACCCACCAAGGAGCAAAGGAUAUUGCAUGCCUCACAGGGCAAGAAACGCUAUGUGCUCUUAGGCUCCCAGUCACCUUUGCCCUCAAGGGUAGGCAGGUGACCACUUCUACCCACCAUUUUCCGGGUUCCCUUGUACUCACAUUCCCCUGAUUAUACUCUUCUUUUUGUCAGAUACCAUUUCCUGCUAUUUCCAUUAUUACCUAUAUUAGUUUGUCUUUCUACCUUUCCAAUCAACUUCUCUUGGUUGUUUGCUUUUAUUUAUUUUUGAUUUUGAAUAAAGCAAAGCUUUCAUUAUCAAGAUUAUAAGGUUUAAUUUAAUUGGAGGCCAAACUACUGCCUUAAAGAGAAUUCAUCAUAAGAGAGGAAAGGAGAGGGACGCCUGGCUGGCUCAGUUGGAGGAGCGUGUGACUCUUGAUAUUGGGGUCGUGAGUUCAAGUCCCGAAUUGGGUGUAGAGGUUACUUAAAAAAAAAAUUCUAGGGGCGCCUGGGUGGCUCAGUCGGUUAAGCGGCUGACUUCGGCUCAGGUCAUGAUCUCGCGGUCUGUGAGUUCGAGCCCCGCGUCGGGCUCUGUGCUGACAGCUCGGAGCCUGGAGCCUGUUUCAGAUUCUGUGUCUCCCUCUCUCUGACCCUCCCCUGUUCAUGCUCUGUCUCUCCCCAUCUCAAAAAUAAAUAAAACGUUAAAAAAAAAAGAAAAAACAAAAAAAUUCUUUUUUUUUUAAUAUAUGAAAUUUAUUGUCAAAUUGGUUUCCAUACAACACCCAGUGCUCAUCCCAAAAGAUGCCCUCUUUAAUACCCAUCACCCAUCCUCCCCUCCCUCCCACCCCCCAUCAACCCUCAGUUUGUUCUCAGUUUUUAAGAGUCUCUUAUGCUUUGGCUCUCUCCCACUCUAACCUCUUUUUAAAAAAAAAAAAAAUUCUUAAAAAAAAAAGAAAAGAAGAAAAUAAUUGGAAGACACAUUACAGUAGCUUUAAUAAAAAGAACAGCUCGUGGGAAAGAGGAGACAGUGAAAUCGUCUGCAAGACUUGCUAAGCAUGAGGAUGAUACUUCAACAACAGGGGUGAAUCUUGGGGACAUAAUGUGAAGUGAAAGAAGCCAGAUGGAAAACAGAACGUACCGAGUAAGUCUAUCUAUAGGAUAUCCAAGAACAGGCAAAGUAAUCUAUAAUGAUAGAAGCCAGAAUAAUGGUUGCUUGGUUGGGUGUGUGUGGGGUGGAUGUUCUUGACUGGGAGUGGCCAUGAGAUUUUUCUGGGGUGCUGAAAAUUAUACCUUGAUGUCGGUGUGACUACGUAGGUGCAUACCUGUGUAGAACUUAAUGGGGUUGUACAUUAUGAUUUGUGCACUUUAUUGCAUGUAGGUUAAAGUUCAGCUGGGAAAAAAAAAAAAAGCCCAGGAUGAGACCACGUUUGUUGAAGUGGCCUUGUGGGGCUGUCCAUCCAGUCGGUUCAAUGCCCGCUCUGGUCCUCACCCCCCUCCCCGUGACCAUCAAAGCAUAACUGCUCUUGACUGUUUCCAGUAUCUGCCUGCUCCGGCCCUAAUUCUCCAGGUCAGCUGCCAGAGGCCCAGCGGCCUGCCAGCGCUCGCCCCAUCUCGGGCUGCAGAGGUCCAGCUUCCAGUGGGAGAGGAGAGCAGAACCCUGCAAGCUGUAGCAGCAGCCAGAAGGGUUGCAGAUGCCUCUACAACUUCUCUUCUUAAAGGCUCCCUGUCAUUCACUGAAUAAGGUUCAGGCACCUUAGCCUGGCACUCAAAGUCCUCUCUAAAUUGACCUUUCCUUAGUUUGUUUGGCACAACGAACCUUUCAGUGUUCAAGGACUUUUCACUACCUUGCAUGCAUGCUGUUCCCUAUGAGCUUCCACGUCUACUUGGCAAACUUUUCAUUCUCCCCUUUCAGUUCAAAUGUCACCUUUUACUCUCUUAAGAAACAGGCACAUGGGGAACUCAUGGUGGAGUGUUCGUUGUCAACAAAUAGACAGCAUGUAGGUGCUUUUCACAUGUUAUCCUCUUUAACUUUCACUCUAAGACAAUAUAUCGCCAGUUGAUUUCAUCCACUCAUAGUUCACAGUAUUAUAAUGACUUGUUUACACAUGAUCGGCUAUGAACCCUGUAGGUGCUGUACACAGUGCCUCGAAUAUAAGUUCUUAAAGGGCUUACAGACCUGCUUGAAGACCCUACCCUAUCUUCUCAAUUAGUUGGCUCAAAACAUGAAAAGAAAACCAUCUCAAUAAUGGUCCCGGCAGGAACAGAAAGUACAAUCACAUGUGAUUUUGAAGAGAAUUGGAUGAAUUAUUUACAGAGAUGUGGGUAGAUUUAAAGGAGCUAACAAGGGAUAUUGAGGUUGCCCAGGGAUUAGGAAAAAAUGGAAGAUGGAAACUGUACCUGUUCCUCUCACUUCCUGAAGACCCGGCGAGGCUCAAUCCCUGGAAGGAGAGCCUUUUCCUGGAGGUGUCAUGGAGCCACCGCUACUGCCAGACUGAGAUCCUAGGCAGGAAGGGAGUGGGGACAAAGUCUUCUCACACACUUGACUACAGUCACUCCUGACAGUACCUGCCGUUGGCCAAACCAGCUGUUGAGAGUGAUAGGCUACUGAAGGUUAAGUCCCCCUGGGGCACAGAAUAAGGCAAAGAGGGUGAAAAUUCAUGGGGGUGGAGGAUGGCUCAAAUGCGGAAUAACCAGUACAAAAAGUGUAAAAUCAAAAUUGGGGCGCCUGGGUGGCUCAGUCGGUUAAGCAUCCAACUUCAGCUCAGGUCAUGAUCUCACGGUUUGUGAGUUCGAGCCCCGCAUUGGGCUCUAUGCUGUCAGCACAGGGCCUGUUUCAGAUCCUCUGUCUCCCUCUCUCUCUCUCUGCCCCUUACCUGCUCGAGCUCUCUCUGUCUCAAAAAUAAAUGAGUAAACGUUUUAAAAAGUGUAAAAUCAAAAUUAAUAAAUGUUUUAAUUAAAUGUGCAAAGGAUAUUACAUCAGCUGGUCAGCUAGGUAUACAAUAUUUUAUGGGUACUUCUAAAAAUGUUUGAUUAUGCUGAAGGGUGUGAUAAACCCUACUUCUUUUGAAGAUCUUAAAAUCUCUGUGAGCGCGCUCUCUCUCUCCCUCUCUCUCCUCUUUGGACUGGGUGUAAGAUUCUGGAGUGUUCAGUUUGUCUUAUACAUCUUGGUAUCCCCACCUCUCGCAGAGCGGCAUACAAUAGCAUUCAAUGAAUGUUUGGUGUUUGAAUAAAGAACUGAGUGAAUGUAAUAAAUGGCCAAGUAUAGUUUAUAAUGUUGAGUUUAUGCCAGUUUUCAC